rnacentral:rRNA from 1 species
GAUGAACGCUAGCUACAGGCUUAACACAUGCAAGUCGAGGGGAAACGACAUCGAAAGCUUGCUUUUGAUGGGCGUCGACCGGCGCACGGGUGAGUAACGCGUAUCCAACCUGCCCACCACUUGGGGAUAACCUUGCGAAAGUAAGACUAAUACCCAAUGACGUCUCUAGAAGACAUCUGAAAGAGAUUAAAGAUUUAUCGGUGAUGGAUGGGGAUGCGUCUGAUUAGCUUGUUGGCGGGGUAACGGCCCACCAAGGCGACGAUCAGUAGGGGUUCUGAGAGGAAGGUCCCCCACAUUGGAACUGAGACACGGUCCAAACUCCUACGGGAGGCAGCAGUGAGGAAUAUUGGGUCAAUGGGCGAGAGCCUGAACCAGCCAAGUAGCGUGCAGGAUGACGGCCCUAUGGGUUGUAAACUGCUUUUAUAAGGGAAUAAAGUGAGCCUCGUGAGGCUUUUUGCAUGUACCUUAUGAAUAAGGACCGGCUAAUUCCGUGCCAGCAGCCG